UUAAAGGUGUUACCAUGGCUGAGAUUCAGCUCAAAUGUUUCCACUCCUAAAACCAGGCCUGAUUUGAAGUGGACCUUGUAAGUUCAGCCAGACCUGCCCCUGAACACAUGGAUCAGAGUGAAAGGAUCGGACACAGGGGCUGCAGCACUUCGGCUUUCUUACUGCAAGUUCAGUCAGAUGAGGUGUGUUUCAACUGGAACAGAUGGAAGUAGCUGUAGUAGGUGAGAAUCGGGUGAAUGGAGCAAGUGAAGUUUGAGGCAACAAAUCGUGAUGCCUCCCUCUCGCCCAGCAAGUCCAACCUCAACAGAAUCUGCUGCUUGGACUUCUUGCUGAUGUUUAAUUUAAGAGACUUUUAAAUGUGAAUAAAGUGAUUCUUAAACAAUUGUUGUCCUGAGAAAUUACAGCACAAAGUGUCACUGGAAUAAAUGCAUGGAUGGUGAA